rnacentral:rRNA from 1 species
GACCUCGGAUCAGGUAGGGAUACCCGCUGAACUUAAGCAUAUCAAUAAGCGGAGGAAAAGAAACCAACAGGGAUUGCCUCAGUAACGGCGAGUGAAGCGGCAACAGCUCAAAUUUGAAAUCUGGCUCUUUCAGGGUCCGAGUUGUAAUUUGUAGAAGAUGCUUUGGGUGUGGCUCCGGUCUAAGUUCCUUGGAACAGGACGUCAUGGAGGGUGAGAAUCCCGUAUGUGACUGGUUGCCUUCGCCCGUGUAAAGCUCUUUCGACGAGUCGAGUUGUUUGGGAAUGCAGCUCAAAAUGGGUGGUAAAUUUCAUCUAAAGCUAAAUAUUGGCCAGAGACCGAUAGCGCACAAGUAGAGUGAUCGAAAGAUGAAAAGCACUUUGGAAAGAGAGUUAAACAGUACGUGAAAUUGUUGAAAGGGAAGCGCUUGCAACCAG